rnacentral:lncRNA from 1 species
AAGGGGGCAGGAAGAGACGAAGAGUUUCAAGGGAAUGAGAAGAGUGUGAAAGGAAAGAGGAAUGUUGAAAGAGAAGAGUGCCAAAAGAAUGAGCAUAUUGUCAAAGUAAUGAUAAGUGUAAAGAAGAAGAAGAGUGUCAAAGGAAAGAGUUUCAAAGAAAUGAGACAAGUGUCAAAGGAAAGACAUGAGUGUGGAAGAUAGAGAUUAGUGUCAAAGAAAAGAGAAGAGUGUGAAAAGAAAGUGUGAAAGGAAGAAGAGUGUGAAAAAAAGAGGAGAAUCUAAAAGGAAAGAAGAAUCUGAAAGGAAAGAGAAGAGUGUGAAAGGAAAGAGAAGUAUGUCAAAGGAAAGAGAAUACUAACAGAUAUGAGAGGAGUAAAGGUAAGUAAAUUGGGGUAGAGAAAUGUGAAAAGGGGCAGAAGAAUGUGAAUUGACUAAGAAGAGUGUUAGAGGAAUGAGCAGAUUGUCAAAGGAAUGAUCAGAGUGUCAAAGGAAUGAUCAGAGUCUCAAAGUGAUAAGACUCUCAAAGGAAAGACAAAAGUGUGAUUGAUAGAGUGUCAAAGAAAAGAGCUAGAACAGAAAGAAAAUCUGAAAGGAAACAGAAGAGUGUGAAAGGAAAAGUGUCAAAGGAAGGGGAAGAGUGUGAAAGGAAAAAGAAGAGUUUCAAAGGAAUGAGACGGUGUGAAGGAUAGAGAAGAGUGUCAAAGGAAAGAGAAGAGUUUCAAAGGAAUGAGAGGAGUGUGAAGGAUAGAGAAGAGUGUCAAAGGAAAGAGAGGAGUGUCAAAGAAAAGAGUGUGAAAAGAAAGAAGAAUCUUAAAGGCGGGGAAGAAUCUGAAAGAGUGUCAAAUAAGGGAGAGGAGUGUCAAAGGAAAGAGUGUGAAAAGAAAGAAGAAUCUUAAAGGAAAGAGUGCCAAAGGAAAGAGAAGAAUAUCAAAGGAAAGAGAAUAGUGUCAGAUAUGAGAGGAGUACAGGUAAGUAAAUUGGGGUAGAGAAAUGUGAAAAGGGGCAGAAGAAUGUGAAUUGACUAAGAAGAGUGUUAGAGGAAUGAGCAGAUUGUCAAAGGAAUGAUCAGAGUGUCAAAGUGAUAAGACUCUCAAAGGAAAGACAAAAGUGUGAUUGAUAGAGAAGAGUGUCAAAGAAAAGAGCUAGAACAGAAAGAAAAUCUGAAAGGAAACAGAAGAGUGUGAAAGGAAAAGUGUCAAAGGAAGGGGAAGAAUGUCAAAGGAAAAAGAAGAGUUUCAAAGGAAAAAGAAGAGUUUCAAAGGAAUGAGACGAGUGUGAAGGAUAGAGAAGAGUGUCAAAGAAAAGAGUGUGAAAAGAAAGAAGAAUCUGAAAGGAAGGAGAAGAAUCUGAAAGGAAAGAGUGUCAAAUGAAGGAGAGGAGUGGCAAUGAAAAGAGAAGAGUGUGAAAAGAAAGAAGAAUCUUAAAGGAAAGUGCCAAAGGAAAGAGAAGAAUAUCAAAGGAAAGAGAAUAGUGUCAGAUAUGAGAGGAGUACAGGUAAGUAAAUUGGGGUAGAGAAAUGUGAAAAGGGGCAGAAGAAUGUGAACUGAUUAAGAAGAGUGUAAGAGGAAUGAGCAGAUUGUCAAAGGAAUGAACAGAGUGUCAAAGAAUGAUCAGAGUCUCAAAGUGAUAAGACUCUCAAAGGAAAGAUAAAAGUGUGAAUGACAGAGAAGAGUGUCAAAGAAAAGAGCGUGAACAGAAAGAAAAUCUGAAAGGAAACAGAAGAGUGAAAGGAAAAGUGUCAAAGGAAAGAGAAGAGUGUCAAAGGAAGGGGAAGAUUGUCAAAGGAAAAAGAAGAGUUUCAAAGGAAUGAGACGAGUGUGAAGGAUAGAGAAGUGUCAAAGGAAAGAGAGGAGUGUCAAAGAAAAGAGUGUGAAAAGAAAGAAGAAUCUGAAAGGAAGGAGAAGAAUCUGAAAGGAAAGAGUGUCAACUGAAGGAGAGGAGUGGCAAUGAAAAGAGAAGAGUGUGAAAACAAAGAAGAAUCUUAAAGGGAAGAAUCUGAAAGAGUGUCAAAGGAAAGAGAAUAGUGUCAGAUAUGAGAGGAGUACAGGUAAGUAAAUUGGGGUAGAGAAAUGUGAAAAGGGGCAGAAGAAUGUGAAUUGACUAAGAAGAGUGUUAGAGGAAUGAGCAGAUUGUCAAAGGAAUGAUCAGAGUGUCAAAGGAAUGAUCAGAGUCUCAAAGUGAUAAGACUCUCAAAGGAAAGAUAAAAGUGUGAAUGAUAGAGAAGAGUGUCAAAGAAAAGAGCGUGAACAGAAAGAAAAUCUGAAAGGAAACAGAAGAGUGUGAAAGGAAAAGUGUCAAAGGAAGGGGAAGAGUGUCAAAGGAAAAAG